GCUCAAAAUGGGAGGUAUAUUUCUUCUAAAGCUAANNNUGGCCAGAGGCCGAUAGCGCACAAGUAGAGUGAUCGAAAGAUGAAAAGCCCUUUGGAAAGAGAGUUAAACAGUACGUGAAAUUGUUGAAAGGGAAGCGCUUGCAACCAGACUUGCACGCAGUUGAUCAUUCGGUGUUCUCACCGGGGCACUCUGCUGCGUUCAGGCCAGCAUCGGUUUCGGUGGUUGGAUAAAGGCCUUGGGAACGUGGCNCCCUUCGGGGAGUGUUAUAGCCCUCGGUGCAAUGCAGCCUACCGGGACCGAGGACCGCGCUUCGGCUAGGAUGCUGGCGUAAUGGUUGUAAGCGACC
rnacentral:rRNA from 1 species